rnacentral:rRNA from 1 species
GCACAAGCGGUGGAGCAUGUGGAUUAAUUCGAAGCAACGCGAAGAACCUUACCAAGGCUUGACAUACACCGGAAAGCAUUAGAGAUAGUGCCCCCCUUGUGGUCGGUGUACAGGUGGUGCAUGGCUGUCGUCAGCUCGUGUCGUGAGAUGUUGGGUUAAGUCCCGCAACGAGCGCAACCCUUGUUCUGUGUUGCCAGCAUGCCCUUCGGGGUGAUGGGGACUCACAGGAGACCGCCGGGGUCAACUCGGAGGAAGGUGGGGACGACGUCAAGUCAUCAUGCCCCUUAUGUCUUGGGCUGCACACGUGCUACAAUGGCCGGUACAAAGAGCUGCGAUACCGUGAGGUGGAGCGAAUCUCAAAAAGCCGGUCUCAGUUCGGAUUGGGGUCUGCAACUCGGCCCCAUGAAGUCGGAGUCGCUAGUAAUCGCAGAUCAGCAUUGCUGCGGUGAAUACGUUCCCGGGC